UGUAAACUUGUUAUCACCAUUACAUAAUUGUCAGAGUUAUUUCUCUUAUCUUCAUUUCACAUUCGUGGCCUCCAUUUCUUCCUCUUUUCACGUUUUCUUCAUUUUCAAUCAUUUUUGUUUAUCAUAAUUUUUUUUCUUUUCACUUCAAGUUUUCCCGUCCUUGGCCUUCGUUCCAUCGACGAAGAGUAAGCGAGGGAAAGCACGAGCUUUUGAGAGAAAAAUAAGGAAUUAGAAUCCCUUUCUUCUUUAAUUUUUUUUUUGUUUUUCCCAAAUUAAACCCUAUAACCGAGAGUGAAAGGAGUUGAGAGGCACGCCCAAACCUUCCUUCACGAGUGAAAACCACACCUAAACCUUCGUUCACGAGCGAAAAUAGUGUGUGAAUCGAGAGAGAUCGUGUGACGAGGUGAGAAGGGAGAAGGAGCUUGGUAGGAAGCCAUCUUAAGUAGGAAAGGAAGGAUCGACUAAGGCACACCCACCAUCGACUGCUUGGAAUCUCCACUAAACCUUGACUCCCAUCACCCAUCAUCAACCAUCAUCCAUAUUCACACAUCGCCAUAGCCAUCUUGACACUUACGGCUACUACCAACACCCUUCCACCGUCUUCAUCUCAAUCAAAUAUUCAUUCUCAUCCUUCUUAUCAUACAUCUCUCCUAUUUCCCCUGCAUUCAAACAAAAACAGAGAAGCCCAAAUCAACAUCCUGUUCGACUUCACCCAUCAACCACCAAAAAUCCCAAGGGCCACUCCCAUGCAAAGACAGAAAACACAAUACAGAGGAGGCAUUCCCAGUCACGGCAUUGUGGUGUGGCGGUGUCGCGGCAGCAUUGGCGAAGAGCCACGAUUCGCGGUAGUGAACCUGGGAAAAGAUGAACCCCAUUUGAAGGGGGAAGGUGAAAAGGUAGCAUCGGUAGCGGCCUCCAAGGCUGACGGCGGCGAAGCAGAGACGGUCACCGGCAUCAACGACGCGGUAUCGGCGGUGGCUCCGACCGGUGGGAGGGGAGAGUCGGCGAAACCAUGGCCUGGUGUUUGUUUGUCCACGAGAAAAUGGGGGUUCCUGUUUUGUGUUGAAGAAGAGGAGAUGAAUUUGGGGUAAGGGCAGCUUUCUUGGCUUCUUUUGUUUGAAGUAGAGACCCUGUUGUGAAGAAGAAGGAAGAAACCUGGUUUCUGAUCUGAGAGAAAAAAUGGGCCUUGGACUUGGACCGUACCCCUACAAAUUCAUAUUCAUUGCUGCACCUCUAUCCUCGUGGCCUCGGACUGUACACACAUUCCUGGUUUUUAAUCUUUGCGUCCCUACUCUUACUGAGCUUUUCUUGUUUUGUUGUUGUCUGAAUUUUAUUUUAUGCAUUUGUGUUUUUCAUCUUUUUGUUGAUUAUGAGUUUUUUUUUACUGCAUGUGACCUCUUGUAAGAUAACUCCCACCCCUUUGCCUUGUGUUUUAUUUUAUUAGGCUUGUUUG